UGAGGAAUAUUGGUCAAUGGAGGAAACUCUGAACCAGCCAAGUCGCGUGAAGGAUGACGGUCCUAUGGAUUGUAAACUUCUUUAGUAGGCGAGUAAGGAUAGGUACGUGUACCUAUUAGAAAGUAGCCUAAGAAUAAGUAUCGGCUAACUCCGUGCCAGCAGCCGCGGUAAUACGGAGGAUACGAGCGUUAUCCGGAUUUAUUGGGUUUAAAGGGUGCGUAGGUGGCUGAUUAAGUCAGUGGUGAAAAGCUAUGGCUCAACCAUAGUCUUGCCGUUGAUACUGGUUAGCUUGAGUGUAGAUGCUGUAGGCGGAACGUGUAGUGUAGCGGUGAAAUGCAUAGAUAUUACGCAGAACUCCGAUUGCGAAGGCAGCUUACAAAACUACUACUGACACUGAGGCACGAAAGCGUGGGUAUCAAACAGG
rnacentral:rRNA from 1 species